rnacentral:misc_RNA from 1 species
AACUUUUAGCAACGGAUCUCUUGGCUCUCGCAUCGAUGAAGAACGCAGCGAAAUGCGAUACGUAAUGUGAAUUGCAGAAUUCAGUGAAGCAUCGAAUCUUUGAACGCACCUUGCGCCCCUUGGUAUUCCGAGGGGCACACCCGUUUGAGUGUCGUGAAAAUCUCAACCUUCUCGGUUUCUUCUGGACACCGACGGAGGCUUGGCCUGUGGAGGCCUUGUCUGGCGUCUCUCGCUAGCUCCUCUCAAAUGAAUUGGUGGAGUCGUCUGUGUCGAUCCUCGCGGUGUGAUAAGAUGUUUCCAUGUCUUGGUUUAUGGCUCUGUUGCUUUUGGGACCCGCUUAUAACCGUCUCAACGAGACAACGUUCGAGCGGGUCGAACACUCGUGAACCCACGAGCCCUUGACCUCAAAUCGGGUGAGACUACCCGCUGAACUUAAGCAUAUCAAUAAGCGGAGGCU